rnacentral:lncRNA from 1 species
GACAGAAGUUAUGGAUAGCUCAUUAAAUCUCAUCAUCAGUCAUAUGUAAGAUUUAUUCGACUCGAGUUCAUCUUGUGAAUAUUCAUAGAAACUCUUUUUCAUCAAUCAUACUGUCUUGGUUAAAGACUUCAGAACUCAGUCUCAUAAAUCACGUAGAACUAUUUUUUUUAUUAAGAUUAAUAGAUCCCAUCUAAAUGCACAUCCUGCUCUUAUAGUGGACUAACUGUCGUCAAUAUCCACUAUAAGGAAUCAUUGAGGUUAUAUUUAUGUAUAGUCAAAUUUUAGUAGCCUCAC